rnacentral:rRNA from 1 species
UACGUAGGGGGCAAGCGUUGUCCGGAUUUAUUGGGCGUAAAGAGCGUGUAGGCGGCCAGGCAGGUCCGUUGUGAAAACUCGAGGCUCAACCUCGAGAUGUCGAUGGAAACCGUCUGGCUAGAGUCCGGAAGAGGAGAGUGGAAUUCCCGGUGUAGCGGUGAAAUGCGCAGAUAUCGGGAAGAACACCCGUGGCGAAGGCGGCUCUCUGGGACGGUACUGACGCUGAGACGCGAAAGCGUGAGGAGCGAACAGG